GAAUUCCGGUAGUAUGGUUCAGUGCUUAGCUAUCAAAGCUGCACGCUCGGUCGAAGACGACAACCUUCCCCAAAUAGAGGAGGACCAGCCUUCUUCGGUCUAGGGUAUACGAGUAGCUUUGCUUCCCUGCUAGAACCUCCAAACAAAAUAGAAUCUUAAGAAGAUGCUUGCCAUUUAGGAUCACUGGGAUAUUUAGUUUAAAACCAGUUCACAAUAAGAUUUCU
rnacentral:snRNA from 1 species